UUGUAGUUAUGUCAUACAUGCGACGGAAAUGGCAAGCACGUGACUUGCCCUCACAUAGGCGACAAUAACAAUGUGGAGAUGAGAGAAGAGUGGGCUUGUAAUUCUGUCUAUUUUCGUGAGGCUUUAUUUAAGUUGUGUGGUGCUGUGUGCUUCUCUUUUCUGGAGGAAAAUGAGUAUAAACGGGAAUGCACACACCGAGGCGAACGAAGCGACGCCACUGUUAAAUCAGAGUGGGAUUAAAGGCGCUUCCUUUGCCUCGUCAGUGUUUAACCUGAUGAAUGCGAUCAUGGGCAGCGGUAUUCUGGGUUUAGCUUAUGCCAUGGCAAGCACCGGCAUAGUUGGCUUCUGUAUCCUGUUGAUACUUGUAUCCAGCCUUGCAGGGUAUUCCAUACACCUCCUCCUCAAGCUUUGUGAUCUGACAGGAAUCAAUUCAUAUGAAGAUCUUGGAGGACGAGCGCUACAAAAAACAGGAAAAGUUCUUGUUGCAGUUGCGAUCCUCGUCCAAAAUGUUGGCGCCAUGUCGUCAUAUUUAUUCAUCUUGAAGUCAGAGCUUCCUGCAGCCAUCACCAGUUUCCUAAGUCCAGACCAGUCCGGAGAGACAUGGUAUCAAGAUGGCAGACUGCUGCUGAUCUUCAUCACACUAUGUGUCAUCCUUCCUCUUGCAAUAUUGCCAAAAAUUGGUUUUCUGGGCUACACCAGCAGCCUGGCCUUCUUCUGCAUGCUGUACUUUGUCAUUGUGGUCGUGGUCAAGAAAUGGUCAAUCCCCUGCCCACUGGCACAAAACGUGACCAAAUUUCCAGGUGUAUUUCAGGUAUCAAAUUUCUCCAACUCAGAUUGCACACCCAAACUCUUUGUCAUCUCCAGUCGCAGUGCCUAUGCCAUCCCCACCAUGGCCUUCUCCUUCCUGUGCCACACAGCAAUCCUACCAAUCUACUGCGAAAUGGAUCGACCGACUAAAACAAAGAUGCAGAAUGUGACCAACGUCAGCAUCAGCCUCAGCUUCCUACUCUACCUCAUUUCUGCCCUCUUUGGCUACCUCACAUUCUAUGCUCACGUGGACUCUGAGCUUUUGCUUGGCUACGAUGCAUACAUGCCACGCGACAUCAUGGUGAUGACUGUUAGGCUCGCCAUCCUCAUCGCUGUGUUGUUGACCAUACCCCUAAUUCACUUCCCGGCUCGUAAAGCCAUCAUCUUGCUCCUCCGUGGAAAUCAGCCAUUUUCCUGGCUGAUCCACAUCACAACAACUGUGGUGAUCUUGGGCACAGUCCUGAUGCUGGCCAUCUUUGUGCCUGAUAUCAGAAAUGUUUUUGGAGUAGUGGAUGUCCAGCAAGACAACUCGGAUUCAGAAGAGGAAGUGGAGGAUGUGUCAGAAGAAAAAGAUGGGGGGGAAUACAACCCAGAGCAUGAUGAAUCAUCUUCAGAAGAAGAAGAAAACCCUGAAGCUGAAAGAGAGACUUUCCCUUCCAAAAAAUGGCAAAAUAACAUGGUCCUCAACAGCAUAUGACCAACAUGGCAGGCAUGUAGAAUAAAACAUCAAGAGGACCCCAGAGAGAAUUUAAGGGGAUACCUUUAGUCAAAAAUGAUUUAUGGGGGUCAAAGGUCAAUGAUUUAUGAGGGGUCAAGGUCAUAGGUCAAUGAUUUAUGAGGGGUCAAGGUCAAAGGUCAAAGUCAAAGGUCAAAGUCAAGGGUCAAGUUCAAAGGUCAGGGUCAAAUGUCAAGGUCAAGUGGGUGUGGCUUACCCCGGAAGAGGGUGGAGUUAAGACCUGCGGUGGGAGUGGUUAAACCAGGAAGAGGGCUGAGUUUUAACCAGAAAGAGGGCGGAGUUAAGACCUGAGGUGGGAGUGGUUGAACCAGGAAGAGGGCAGAGUUAAGACCUGAGGUGGGAGUGGUUGAACCAGAAAGAGGGUGGAGUUAAGACCUGAGGUGGGAGCGGUUGAACCAGGAAGAGGGUGGAGUUAAGACCUGAAGUGGGAGGGGUUAAACCAGGAAGAGCCAGGAAGAGGGUGGAGUUAAGACCUGAAGAGGGAACAAAGGAGGGUUCAGGUUGAGGUCAGUUUUUUAAGGAAGCUUGAGAAUGUCAUCUGAGCACCAUGUGACCAUCCAUUUGACAGUUUAAAACGAUUGGGAAGAACUAAUUAGUUUAAGGUUAACCAUAUGUUUGACCCUGCUUCGAUGUAUUGAUGGCUGGGAAUGUUACGUGGGGAGAUGUGGACACGCACACACACACACACGCACGCACGCACGCACGCACGCACGCACACACACACACACACACACACACACACACACACACACACACGCAGAGGGGGGUACAAAAGGGCGGUGUAAGGCUUAGUCGUUAUUUGGAGCUUUAUACGUUAGCGUAAAGACUUCGUUCGAUUCGGUCAUGAUUAGUGAAACGCCUGUGUCGAUUUAUAAAAAUAAUAAAACUUACAUUGACGCUCCGCAAAAAAGUCGAGUGUUUCUAAAUCGUAUUCAGAUGCCACCGACCGAGUCUUUGCGUGAGAAAUGGGACUUGGAAGCGUACGGGAUGGAGGGAUCUUUUGGAUUUGUAUUCAGAUACGAAAUGGGGGAUACCUGCUUAUUUCAGCUAAAAGAAAGAAGAGACGGAAGCCCUUUCUCGAUAUUUUCAUCGUUAUCUACCGUGGAUUGGGAAGUUUUUGUUACGUGGGGAGAUGUGGACACGCACACACACGCACACCCACACUGGUUUAAAUGUAACUUAGAUAUUGGGUUUCACUAUGUAAAGCGCUUUGAGUCACUUGAGAAAAGCGCUAUAUAAAUAUAAUUCACUUCACACACACACACACACACAGAUACACACACACACACACACACACACACACACACACACACACACACACACACACAUACACAUUCGCACGCACACACCGUUAAGACCUGAAGAGGGGACAAAGGAGGGUUCAGGUGGAGGUCAGUUUUUAAGGAAGCUUGAGAAUGUCAUAUGAUUCGCAACUGACCAGCCAUUUGACAGUUUAAAUGUUUACGAUCGUUUGAAACAACUUCCAUACCUCACGAAAACAUAUUUAAACAGUUGGAGAAACUAUCGCAGAGCACAGUGUAACCGCGAUUUGCAGAAUGAAAGGUAAUUUCUUUUUUUUUUUUUUCAUUCCUUGUAACACGUCUGUUUAAUGAUACUAUAAUAAGUAUUUAUUCGAACUAAAAACAGUCGGACAUCGAGUUGAAAUUCACCCACCACCAAGGGAUCUCCUAACAGAGUCUCCAAUCCUUUUGUGUAAGUACCGAAUUUUUUUUACUGUAUUCAUUUCAUUACCUCCGUUUUUACCACGUUAUUAGACAAUGGUUUAACUCCGUUUAAGCAUUUAAACGUUAAAAGCAUUGCACGUGUACGACAUUGUUAUACUUUUUUUUUUUUUUUACCAGCCGAUGACGACGAAGUGAAAGACGAAGAACUUUGUUUGAUCGAUCUUACAAAGUUGGAAGAUGAUUAUCGAGGUGUGUUUAAACCUUCGAAUUAUUUAAUAUUAUGUGUAUUCAUUAUUUUGUUUUAUAGAGGAUUCGCCGGAAGAGUCCAACGCGAUCCCUUUAACACAAUUGCAUUGUGAUUUUCCAUUUUUAUCUCCGGCUCGCUGGUCACCGUUAACGCUGGCGGGUUCAUCAACGGCCAUUCCAGGCAGAGGAGAAGGCUUGAUUGCGCCAAAGACUCCAGACAUCGAAUCCUUGCUCCGAGGGGAAAUCAUCGAAAACGACGGUGAAUGUCCGACAGGCACCCGCUGCAACAAACGCAGGAGGAAGCGUAGAUGCGCCCGCCAGCUCGACAAACGUGAUAGAAACAGAAGAAGGCUGAAACAGUACUAUCGUAUACUGGCUCGCACUCUCAUGAAGAUGGCAGACAUGAUUUGAUACAUACUGGUUUGUUAUAUCUGUUCCAUUCGAAUUAUUUUUUUCUUUUUUUUUCUUUAGAGAAAUAUAAUGGCUGUAGUUCCAUCUGAAUUAGAUGUAGUUAUUGUAGAAGAUGAAGACGUUUGUAAUCAUCAUUUAGAUCCAAACAACCAGAUAGAAUGGGAACCAAACGAUGAUCCGUCUUUGCAAGAUGAUAUUAAUGUGUUAAAUUCAAACACAAACACACAAGCCUCUACACAACAUCACGAGGUGUUGGGAGGGGCGACACCCACACAAGCCUCUACACAGCAUCACGAGGUGUUGGGAGGGGCAACACCCUCGGGGGAAUGUUUGGAUUUUUCGGAGGUGGUGGGGGUCAUGCAGGACCAACCAUCAACGGCUGACCAAUCAAUUUCAAAUGAGACCCAGAGGGGUGAUGGGGUAAAUGUCUUGAGGAGGGAAACAUUCAACAAUAUACAACUAUCCAGCGUUUUAACUUUUCCUCAAAACAACGAUGUAACAGAUUACACCACAUUUUACCGCGGAGUCUUGGGGAGCCUUAAAAAGCUGACACAGAUGGUAACUAAGGAAGCUAGACCCGACGAUAUCAUUCAAUUGGAGUUAUCCGGUGAAAGUGCAAAUCAACAUACUUCAUUUACAUUUCGAAACGAUGCCGGGGGUGUGAUGAAUGCUUUUCAAGACGUGUUAGAUCUGUUGGUACAAUCAAACGUUGAAAUAUUGAACGAUGAAGAAAUACAGGUGAUGGUCCAGGUGAUACAUAACCCUCGAGGUGGUGUAAGAAGAAAAAUCGAAACCCUUUUGGAACAUGAAAUCCGCAGAAAAAAAGCUUGUUAUCUUUACAAUCCAUUAAACUCGAAUAAUCAACUAUGUUUUGCCAUUAGCCUAGCAAGUCUGAUACAUCCUGAAUUUACAGAUAGCCAGGCUGUGGCGGAGGCUGAAAAAAUACAGAGAAAAGCGGGCUUAGACGAACAGACUUCCGUCACUUUCAGUGAUAUUCGUGAAUUUGAAAAAGUGGUACGUCGUAAAAUUGUCAUACUGUACAGAGAAGAGGGCCAACGACCCCUCUCACGGUUCGAGACGGAUUACCCCAAAUCAGAAAAUCCGUUGUAUCUGUAUUUAUCUCAGAAUCAUUACAGCGGUAUCAUUGACAUUAAAGGUUUUUUGUCAAAACCGUACGUUUGUCACUACUGUUACCAAGGGUGCGACAAACCCAACAGACACAAAUGCGACGGUUAUUGCUUGGUCUGUACACAAAACGGGUGUGUAAAAAUAGAGGGGAAAACUGUGCUUUGCAGGGAUUGCAACAUGUGGUGUCGUUCUCCUGCAUGUCUCCUCAGACACAGGGUAAAACACCGGGUUAUGGAAAAACUCGUCAGCAACUGCGAUCGGCGAAAGAAAUGCCUUAAAUGCAACCUAUUUUACGAUGUACCUGUGGCUACAGGUAUCGCUAAACACACGUGCCCUAAGUUAAAAUGUCAAAUAUGUAAAGAAGAGCUACCCCGCAGUGACUCAGAGACACCUGAAACACGACAUCUUUGCUAUAUACAACCCCAACCACGUGAAGUAAACCACAAUGAUAAUAUCAUAUUCUAUGAUUUUGAGACGUUUGUCGAUGACAAUCACACUCACAUUCCCUUUCUAGUCUGUACCAAGACUCUGCAAGGAGAAGAGUGGUGUGCUUUUGGACUGGAUUGUGUUACAGUUUUCCUCAAUCAUUUCAGGAAACCUCGUUAUCUUAAAUCUACAUUUAUAGCCCACAAUUCGAGAGGAUUUGACGGUUACUUGAUUCUGAGAGGCAUGGUACAGCUGGGUAUAGCACCCUUAAUUAUCAUGCAGGGGAGUAAAGUUCUCUGUUUUAAAGACCCUGAUUUUUGGCAAAAAUACAUUGACUCGCUUUCCUUCCUUACCAUGCCGCUUAGCGCUAUGCCAAAAGCGUUAGGACUCGGUGAUUGCUGGUCCAAGGGGUAUUUUCCUCACAAAUUUAGUUCGGAGGAACAUUUAAAUUAUGUCGGAAAAUACCCCGCAAUCAGCAAUUACGGUGUAGAACGCAUGACGCCUGUUGAACGCACCAAGUUUGAGACGUGGUAUCAGAAUGAGAAAAGCGAGGUAUUUGAUUUCCAAAAACAAGCGGUACACUACUGUAAAAACGACGUCAAUGUUCUUCGUGAGGGUUGCAUCAAAUUUAGAGCCGAGUUUACGAGCGAGACGGGUGUUGACCCCUUCUCCCGUAUCACCAUAGCCUCGGCCUGCAUGAAGGUGUUUGUGACUAAUUUCCUCGAGCCGCGUUCUCUAGCCAUACCUUCCCCGGAUAACUACCGAGGGUUGUGUAAAAAAUACUCACACACCAGCAUCCAAUGGUUAGAAUGGGAGUCGCAUCGUCGUGGUAUUUUCAUUCAGCAUGCUUUAAACAAAGGCGAAAAACAGAUGGGGGCAUACUUUGUGGAUGGGUUUGCUAUAAUCGGUGGCAAACCAUUCGUCUGGGAAUUUCAGGGGUGUUUUUAUCACGGAUGCCCGACGUGUUUCGAACCCGGUGCUGUAUGCCCUUUGACAAACACACCGUUCGAGGAGUUGCACAAGGCUACCGAGAAAAAAAUGAAAGCGUUAAAGCGUGACCACAAGGUCAACAUCAUCGUCAUCAGAGAGCACGAGUGGAAUGAAAUGAAAAAAUCAAACCCUAGGGUAAUAGACUUUCUCAAAACACGCAAUUACCCUGCACCUCUCAUGCCUCGAGACGCUCUUUAUGGAGGUAGGACAAGCGCCUUUUGCUUGAGGCACACGGCGGGUGAGAACCAGCGUGUAUUGUAUGAGGAUGUCACCUCUCUCUACCCGUACGUCAACAGCGCAUUUCCUUACCCCCUGGGUCAUCCUGUCAUCAUCCACACGGAUUUUGACGAUGUUGGAAACUAUUUCGGUCUGGUCAGAGCCGUUGUUCACCCUCCUCGAGGUCUCUAUUUCCCUGUGCUACCCUACAGAACGGUCAAGGGUAAACUAGUUUUUACACUUUGCCGCACAUGCGCAGAAAACAAUAACCAGCAGGAACCCUGCGAACAUGAUGAGGAAGGAACGGCAUUGACGGGAGUCUGGGUCACGCACGAAUUCAACAAAGCUUUACAGUUGGGAUACAGAGUCGGUAAGAUUACGGAGGUGUGGCACUUUGAAGAACGGAGCGAAACCGUUUUUACGGGUUAUGUUCAAACUUUCCUAAAGGGUAAGCAAGAAGCUUCAGGGUAUCCCAAAGAAGCCGUCGAUGCAGAAAGCAGGGAAAAGUACAUUCGUGAAUAUCGUGAAAAUCAGGGAAUACAGCUGGAUGCUGAAAAAAUCGAACCCAACCCUGCCAAGAGACAAAUGUCAAAACUCUGUUUAAACAGCCUUUGGGGAAAGUUUGCGGAGAGGCACAAUAGAACUCAGACCACAUUGGUGAGAAAAAGUGAAGUAUUUUUCGAAUUUGUAUUUUCAGGAAAAUAUCAGGUUGAAUAUUUUUCCUUUCUCAACGAGCAAAUUGCUAUGGUGCAAUGGCAAUACAGUAAAAACAGCGUGGUGCUUCCCGGUAACACAAAUAAUGUAUUUGUCGCUGCUUUUACCACCGCUUACGCACGUUUGAAAAUGUACGGUUACCUAGAGGGGUUGCAAGAGAGAGUUCUUUACACAGACACCGAUAGUUUAAUCUACACGGUAAACGAGGGGGAAGUUUCUCUGGAGACGGGGUCCUAUCAAGGCGAUUUGACGGAUGAGUUGGGAGGAGACAGCAUUCACGAAUUCGCCUCCGCCGGUCCAAAGAGUUAUGCCUACCAAACCCUGCAGGGUAAAAAAAACUGUGCUGCGUGCCAAAGGAAUCACUCAAACCCGCGAGUGUUGUGAGAGGGUCAACUUUGACAGCGUUAAAGAUUUGGUGGAGGGCUAUCUGGAGGAAGACAAAACAGGUGCGAUCUACACCCCUCAUCACCAAAUUGUUCGUGAUAAAAGGGGGUUCCUUUUAAAUAACUCGUCUUUCGAAAAAAAGUUUCGAGUGGUGUAUGACAAAAGACGUCUCUUUCCCGACGGGAAAACUUUACCUUUCGGGUAUUAGAGAGGAAAUGGAAAAAAUGGAACGAGUAGACUUUGAUCCCAGAUUUCAUACACCUUUUUCAUGCCUGGUUGUAGGACCUAGUGGUUGCGGAAAGACUUUUUUUGUAAAAAGUGUAUUGGAAAAUUGUGAACACGUCAUGAAUUCUGUACCCGACAACAUUGUGUGGAUUUAUACAUCUUUCCAACCCAUGUAUGCUGAAUUAAAAAAGAUGAAUAAAAAAAUAAAAUUUGUUGAA